CCCUUCGAUGUUCUGGGCUGCACGCGCGCUACACUGAUGAGUUCAACAAGUUCACAACCUUGACCGAAAGGUCUGGGUAGUCUUUGAACGCUCAUCGUGAUAGGGAUUGCACUUUGUAAUUAUGGUGCAUGAACGAGGAAUGCCUAGUAAACGCAAGUCAUCAGCUUGCAUUGAUUACGUCCCUGCCCUUUGUACACACCGCCCGUCGCACCUACCGAUUGAAUGGUCCGGUGAAAUGUUUGGACCUGGCGAUGCGACCUUCAUUGGGAGCGUUGCUCGGGGAAGUUCAUUGAACCUUAUCAUUUAGAGGAAGGUGAAGUCGUAACA
rnacentral:rRNA from 1 species